rnacentral:rRNA from 1 species
GAUGAACGCUGGCGGCGUGCCUAAUACAUGCAAGUCGAACGAACAGGCCAGGAGCUUGCUCCUCUGACGUUUGCGGCGGACGGGAGAGUAACAUGUGGAUCCCCUACCUAUCAUACUGGGAUAAUUUCGGGACACCGGAGCUAAUACCGGAUAAUAUAUUGAAGCGCAUGGGUCACUAGUGAAAGACGGUUUUGGUGUCAGUUAUAGAUGGAUCCGCGCCGCAUUAGCUAGUUGGUAAGGUACCGGCUUACCAAGGCAAGGAGGCGUAGGCGACCUGAGAGGGUGAUCGGCCACACGGGAAGUGAGACACGGUCCAGACUCCUACGGGAGGCAGCAGUAGGGAAUCUUCCGCAAUGGGCGAAAGCCUGACGGAGCAACGCCGCGUGAGUGAUGAAGGUGUUCGGAUCGUAAAACUCUGUUAUUAGGGAAGAACAAAUGUGUAAAUACCUAUGCACGUCUUGACGGUACCUGAUCAAAAAGCCACGGCUAACUACGUG